rnacentral:rRNA from 1 species
GACAGAGGCCCCAAGCGUUAGGCGGAAUCACUGGGCUUAAAGCGUGUGUAGGCGGACACCUAAGUGUCUAGUGAAAUCCCACGGCUCACCCGUGGAACUGCUGGGCAUACUGGGCGUCUUGGGCCAACUAGGGGCAGCCGGAACAAGCGGUGGAGCGGUGAAAUGCGUAGAUAUCGCUUGGAACGCCGAAGGUGAAAACAGGCUGCUGGGGUUGUGCCGACGCUGAGACACGAAAGCCAGGGGAGCAAACGGG